rnacentral:rRNA from 1 species
UUGGGCGUAAAGCGAGCGCAGGCGGUUAGAUAAGUCUGAAGUUAAAGGCUGUGGCUUAACCAUAGUACGCUUUGGAAACUGUUUAACUUGAGUGCAAGAGGGGAGAGUGGAAUUCCAUGUGUAGCGGUGAAAUGCGUAGAUAUAUGGAGGAACACCGGUGGCGAAAGCGGCUCUCUGGCUUGUAACUGACGCUGAGGCUCGAAAGCGUGGGGAGCAAACAGGAUUAGAUACCCUGGUAGUCCACGCCGUAAACGAUGAGUGCUAGGUGUUAGACCCUUUCCGGGGUUUAGUGCCGCAGCUAACGCAUUAAGCACUCCGCCUGGGGAGUACGACCGCAAGGUUGAAACUCAAAGGAAUUGACGGGGGCCCGCACAAGCGGUGGAGCAUGCGGUUUAAUUCGAAGCAACGCGAAGAACCUUACCAGGUCUUGACAUCCCUCUGACCUCUCUAGAGAUAGAGAUUUCCUUCGGGACAGAGGUGACAGGUGGUGCAUGGUUGUCGUCAGCUCGUGUCG